GCCCUACGGGGUGCAGCAGGCGCGAAAACUUUACAAUGCUGGCAACAGCGAUAAGGGAACCUCGAGUGCCAGGUUACAAAUCUGGCUGUCGAGAUGCCUAAAAAGCAUUUCAUAGCAAGGGCCGGGCGAGACCGGUGCCAGCCGCCGCGGUAACACCGGCGGCUCGAGUGGUAACCGUUAUUAUUGGGUCUAAAGGGUCUGUAGCCGGCCGGAUAAGUCUCUUGAGAAAUCUGGCAGCUUAACCGUCAGGCUUUCAGGAGAUACUGUCUGGCUCGAGGCCGGGAGAGGUGAGAGGUACUUCAGGGGUAGGGGUGAAAUCUUGUAAUCCUUGAAGGACCACCAGUGGCGAAGGCGUCUCACCAGAACGGACCUGACGGCAAGGGACGAAAGCUAGGGGCACGAACCGGAUUAGAUACCCGGGUAGUCCUAGCCGUAAACGAUACUCGCUAGGUGUCGGCCACGGUGCGACCGUUGUCGGUGCCGUAGGGAAGCCGUGAAGCGAGCCACCUGGGAAGUACGGCCGCAAGGCUGAAACUUAAAGGAAUUGGCGGGGGAGCACCACAACGGGUGGAGCUUGCGGUUUAAUUGGAUUCAACGCCGGAAAUCUUAC
rnacentral:rRNA from 1 species